GACGAACGCUAGCUACAGGCUUAACACAUGCAAGUCGAGGGGCAGCAUGUUGGUUGCUUGCAACCAAUGAUGGCGACCGGCGCACGGGUGAGUAACGCGUAUCCAACCUACCCUUGUCCAUCGGAUAACCCGUCGAAAGGCGGCCUAACACGAUAUGCGGUUCACGGCAGGCAUCUAACGUGAACGAAAUGUGAAGGAGAAGGAUGGGGAUGCGUCUGAUUAGCUUGUUGGCGGGGUAACGGCCCACCAAGGCGACGAUCAGUAGGGGUUCUGAGAGGAAGGUCCCCCACAUUGGAACUGAGACACGGUCCAAACUCCUACGGGAGGCAGCAGUGAGGAAUAUUGGUCAAUGGACGAGAGUCUGAACCAGCCAAGUAGCGUGCAGGAUGACGGCCCUAUGGGUUGUAAACUGCUUUUAUAGGGGGAUAAAGUGUGCCACGUGUGGCAU
rnacentral:rRNA from 1 species